rnacentral:rRNA from 1 species
GAUGAACGCUAGCGAUAGGCUUAACACAUGCAAGUCGAGGGGCAGCAUGGUCUUAGCUUGCUAAGACUGAUGGCGACCGGCGCACGGGUUCGUAACGCGUAUGCAACUUGCCUCACAGAGGGGGAUAACCCGUCGAAAGACGGACUAAUACCGCGUACACUCUCUUUUGGGCAUCCAAGGUAGAGGCAAUGAAAUUCGCUGUGAGAUAGGCAUGCGUCCCAUUAGCUAGUUGGUGAGGUAACGGCUCACCAAGGCGACGAUGGGUAGGGGAACUGAGAGGUUGAACCCCCACACUGGUACUGAGACACGGACCAGACUCCGACGGGAGGAAGCAGUGAGGAAUAUUGAUCAAUGGGGGAGAGCCUGAACCAGCCAAGUCGGGUGAAGGAUGACUGUCUUAGGGAUUGUAAACUUCUUUUGUAGGGGAAUAAAGAGGGGCACGUGUGCCCCAGUGAAUGUACCCUACGAAUAAGCAUCGGCUAACUCCGUG